GGAAAGGGGGUUUCCAUAUGCCUCGGGGAGCACUUGGGCCCCUCCUGACUCAAGGCUGACUCACCGCUUCCCUCUUCAGGAGGAAUUACUCACCUAGACAC
rnacentral:lncRNA from 1 species